rnacentral:rRNA from 1 species
GAUGAACGCUGGCGGCGUGCUUAACACAUGCAAGUCGAACGGUGAACGAGGGAGCUUGCUCCCUCCGGAUCAGUGGCGAACGGGUGAGUAACACGUGAGCAAUCUGCCCCGAACUCUGGGAUAAGCGCUGGAAACGGCGUCUAAUACCGGAUACGACGCGCGAAGGCAUCUUCUGCGCGUGGAAAGAAUUUCGGUUCGGGAUGAGCUCGCGGCCUAUCAGCUAGUUGGUGAGGUAACGGCUCACCAAGGCGACGACGGGUAGCCGGCCUGAGAGGGUGACCGGCCACACUGGGACUGAGACACGGCCCAGACUCCUACGGGAGGCAGCAGUGGGGAAUAUUGCACAAUGGGCGCAAGCCUGAUGCAGCAACGCCGCGUGAGGGACGACGGCCUUCGGGUUGUAAACCUCUUUUAGCAGGGAAGAAGCGAAAGUGACGGUACCCGCAGAAAAAGCACCGGCUAACUACGUGCCAGCCGCCGCCGUAAAAC